rnacentral:tRNA from 1 species
AUUAAAGUGGCAGAAAAAAAUGCAAGGAAUUUAAGCUUCCUUUAUGAAUUACUCCUUUAAUA